UUUUGAGACCGUGUCACCCCGAUUGCGCCCCAUCUCAUAACAUCUCAGACGCUAAGGCGGGUUGAGUCUGGUUCAUAGUCAGAUGGGAGACUUCCAGAGAAUAUCAAGUGUUGCAGGCC
rnacentral:rRNA from 1 species